UACGGGGGGGAGCAAGCGUUGUUCGGAUUUACUGGGCGUAAAGGGCGCGUAGGCGGCGUGACAAGUCACUUGUGAAAUCUCCGGGCUUAACCCGGAGCGGCCAAGUGAUACUGUCGUGCUAGAGUGCGGAAGGGGCUACUGGAAUUCUCGGUGUAGCGGUGAAAUGCGUAGAUAUCGAGAGGAACACCUGCGGCGAAAGGCGGCC
rnacentral:rRNA from 1 species